rnacentral:rRNA from 1 species
UAGUGAUUAGAGUUUGAUCAUGGCUCAGAUUGAACGCUGGCGGCAUGCCUUACACAUGCAAGUCGAACGGCAGCACGGGAGCAAUCCCGGUGGCGAGUGGCGAACGGGUGAGUAAUACAUCGGAACGUGCCCAAUCGUGGGGGAUAACGCAGCGAAAGCUGUGCUAAUACCGCAUAAGAUCUACGGAUGAAAGCAGGGGACUCGCAAGAGCCUUGCGCGAAUGGAGCGGCUGAUGGCAGAUUAGGUAGUUGGUGAGGUAAAGGCUCACCAAGCCUUCGAUCUGUAGCUGGUCUGAGAGGACGACCAGCCACACUGGGACUGAGACACGGCCCAGACUCCUACGGGAGGCAGCAGUGGGGAAUUUUGGACAAUGGGCGCAAGCCUGAUCCAGCCAUGCCGCGUGCAGGAUGAAGGCCUUCGGGUUGUAAACUGCUUUUGUACGGAACGAAAAGGUUCUUUCUAAUAAAGAGAGCUCAUGACGGUACCGUAAGAAUAAGCACCGGCUAACUACGUGCCAGCAGCCGCGGUAAUACGUAGGGUGCAAGCGUUAAUCGGAAUUACUGGGCGUAAAGCGUGCGCAGGCGGUUUCGCAAGUCAGAUGUGAAAUCCCCGGGCUCAACCUGGGAACUGCAUUUGAAACUACGAGGCUCGAGUGUGUCAGAGGGGGGUGGAAUUCCACGUGUAGCAGUGAAAUGCGUAGAGAUGUGGAGGAACACCAAUGGCGAAGGCAGCCCCCUGGGAUAACACUGACGCUCAUGCACGAAAGCGUGGGGAGCAAACAGGAUUAGAUACCCUGGUAGUCCACGCCCUAAACGAUGUCAACUAGUUGUCGGUCCUUAAUUGGAUUGGUAACGCAGCUAACGCGUGAAGUUGACC